rnacentral:rRNA from 1 species
UACGGAGGGUGCGAGCGUUAAUCGGAAUUACUGGGCGUAAAGCGUGCGUAGACGGCUAUUUAAGUCGGGUGUGAAAGCCCCGGGCUCAACCUGGGAAUUGCAUUUGAGACUGCAUAGCUAGGGUGCGGAAGAGGGAAGCGGAAUUUCCGGUGUAGCGGUGAAAUGCGUAGAUAUCGGAAGGAACACCAGUGGCGAAAGCGGCUUCCUGGUCCAGUACCGACGUUCAGGCACGAAAGCGUGGGGAGCAAACAGG